rnacentral:rRNA from 1 species
AAACUUUCAACAACGGAUCUCUUGGUUCUGGCAUCGAUGAAGAACGCAGCAAAAUGCGAUAAGUAAUGUGAAUUGCAGAAUUCAGUGAAUCAUCGAAUCUUUGAACGCACAUUGCGCCCGCCAGUAUUCUGGCGGGAUGCUGUUCGAGCGUCAUUU